CUAAAGAUGGCGACCGGCGCACGGGUGAGUAACACGUAUCCAACCUGCCCUUUACUCGGGGAUAGCCUUUCGAAAGAAAGAUUAAUACCCGAUAGCAUAAUGAUUCCGCAUGGUUUCAUUAUUAAAGGAUUCCGGUAAAGGAUGGGGAUGCGUUCCAUUAGGUUGUUGGUGAGGUAACGGCUCACCAAGCCUUCGAUGGAUAGGGGUUCUGAGAGGAAGGUCCCCCACAUUGGAACUGAGACACGGUCCAA
rnacentral:rRNA from 1 species